GAUGAACGCUGGCGGCGUGCCUAAUACAUGCAAGUCGAGCGAACGGACGAGAAGCUUGCUUCUCUGAUGUUAGCGGCGGACGGGUGAGUAACACGUGGAUAACCUACCUAUAAGACUGGGAUAACUUCGGGAAACCGGAGCUAAUACCGGAUAAUAUUUUGAACCGCAUGGUUCAAAAGUGAAAGACGGUCUUGCUGUCACUUAUAGAUGGAUCCGCGCUGCAUUAGCUAGUUGGUAAGGUAACGGCUUACCAAGGCAACGAUGCAUAGCCGACCUGAGAGGGUGAUCGGCCACACUGGAACUGAGACACGGUCCAGACUCCUACGGGAGGCAGCAGUAGGGAAUCUUCCGCAAUGGGCGAAAGCCUGACGGAGCAACGCCGCGUGAGUGAUGAAGGUCUUCGGAUCGUAAAACUCUGUUAUUAGGGAAGAACAUAUGUGUAAGUAACUGUGCACAUCUUGACGGUACCUAAUCAGAAAGCCACGGCUAACUACGUGCCAGCAGCCGCGGUAAUACGUAGGUGGCAAGCGUUAUCCGGAAUUAUUGGGCGUAAAGCGCGCGUAGGCGGUUUUUUAAGUCUGAUGUGAAAGCCCACAGCUCAACCGUGGAGGGUCAUUGGAAACUGGAAAACUUGAGUGCAGAAGAGGAAAGUGGAAUUCCAUGUGUAGCGGUGAAAUGCGCAGAGAUAUGGAGGAACACCAGUGGCGAAGGCGACUUUCUGGUCUGUAACUGACGCUGAUGUGCGAAAGCGUGGGGAUCAAACAGGAUUAGAUACCCUGGUAGUCCACGCCGUAAACGAUGAGUGCUAAGUGUUAGGGGGUUUCCGCCCCUUAGUGCUGCAGCUAACGCAUUAAGCACUCCGCCUGGGGAGUACGACCGCAAGGUUGAAACUCAAAGGAAUUGACGGGGACCCGCACAAGCGGUGGAGCAUGUGGUUUAAUUCGAAGCAACGCGAAGAACCUUACCAAAUCUUGACAUCCUUUGACAACUCUAGAGAUAGAGCUUUCCCCUUCGGGGGACAAAGUGACAGGUGGUGCAUGGUUGUCGUCAGCUCGUGUCGUGAGAUGUUGGGUUAAGUCCCGCAACGAGCGCAACCCUUAAGCUUAGUUGCCAUCAUUAAGUUGGGCACUCUAAGUUGACUGCCGGUGACAAACCGGAGGAAGGUGGGGAUGACGUCAAAUCAUCAUGCCCCUUAUGAUUUGGGCUACACACGUGCUACAAUGGACAAUACAAAGGGCAGCGAAACCGUGAGGUCAAGCAAAUCCCAUAAAGUUGUUCUCAGUUCGGAUUGUAGUCUGCAACUCGACUACAUGAAGCUGGAAUCGCUAGUAAUCGUAGGUCAGCAUGCUACGGUGAAUACGUUCCCGGGUCU
rnacentral:rRNA from 1 species